GAAUUGAAUUGAAUCAAAGAAGCUGUGGACAUGAUCACAAAGGCUGUCGACUUCAAAGGAGAAAUAAAUUUUGACACCACCAUGUCAGACGGCCAGAUGAAGAAAACCGCCAGCAAUGCCAAGCUGAGGCGCCUCCUGCCCGACUUCUCCUUCACACCCCUCAAUGAAGCUAUAAAGAUGACAUGCAACUGGUUCGAGACCAACUACAAGAAUGCCCGAACAUGAAGUGACCCACCAUUGGCAGCAUUCUUUGGUUCUGGUGUGAUGCAAGUUGUCAUGACUGUCUCAUAUUAUUACAUUCAGUGCCACAUUUAACAUGGAUGAACACAUUCUCUAGUGUACUGAAGCCUGUUCAAAUCCAAUCGCUAAGGGGUGUUACAACAGUGAUCGCAGAUCAACCCAAACAGUCAACUACCAGGACCUGAGUAUGCAAAUAAGGGAUAGUUAUGGAAAAGAACAAACAAAUGCCUGCACACUGACCUUCCCUCCUCCUAUAGUGGAUGCACAGUGGCUGAAAACAUACUCAGCAAACCUCCAAAGCAACCUGAACAAAUUUGGAAGCCCUUGCGGAUGCAGUCUU